rnacentral:miRNA from 1 species
CGGCGAUCGACGGUGCCAAUCC